GGGGCUGUAACGGUUUCGACGUUUUAGCGAACGCUACUUUGUGAUUCAGGUCGAGAGUGAGUCUCCUCUCGUAAAUCAAAGGCUCAAAAUGCGUACAUGCGAACAACAUCGUACCCUUUGCUCGUAAGGCUGUAACUGCCUAAAAACCCCUCAAAGGUUCGAGCGUCUACGGUUUGACUCCGUUAAAGAUCGUAGACAAAACCCCAACGGAUGCUCUAGCAGACCUGCUCUGGUUGGUCGCUAGCUAAGACUUAACCGGAGAAUCCCAUCGCUCGGGAUAAUGAGCGGUUCCCGCUUCGAGGGUUAGAGAAGCUAAACCUGUGAAUGAGCGAAGUACUAAUACCUAGAGCGGACACGGGUUCGACUCCCGUCAGCUCCACUU
rnacentral:tmRNA from 1 species